rnacentral:lncRNA from 7 species
CAGACCUCACGGCCACCAUGCGCGCUCGUGCUGGGACCUUGGUGUCCCGGCCCUCUACCUCCAAUCCCCUAUAUACCGCUCGCGGCUCGCCCGACCACCGGUCGCACCCAUGCCACCACCACGAAAUCCGAAGUUGAGUGCCGGACCGCUAUUACAGAGGAAAAGGUGUGCCGCCAUGGUUCCUCGCUCCACUAGCGUUCAGUGUGCACGGCCCAGUUGCUGACAAUCGCAUGCCGUGGGAAGUAAGAGCGGAGCCACGACUGGCUAAUCUGGGCAUCGGCUCGUUGAUUCUCCUGGGCAUGCAGUGUUCUCGGCGCGGGUGGCCGGAUCUUGACCAGAAAUGGGAAUCCCGCCAGACCCACGCUCCGCCGCGUCCAGCUUCGAUUACGCUGCGAUUCAUGGUGAGUUUUACCUCUUGGCGUUCCCGGUACUUAGCGCAUUACAAAGUACUUAGCGGCUCGAUGUUUGGGUGCUGGGGGAAUCUGGCGUAGUUCGCCGGAGCUAGCGUCGCCGGGUGUGUCUCUCGGCUGGGGAAGGAGAACCUUGUGAGCCAUUGGAUCCGGGAUGGAGGGUGGAGAUUAGAUGGGCAACAACGGUUCGAUUAUGGCGUGCGUGGAUCGCUGGAUCGUGGGCCGACGGCCAUGAUCGGAUCCCUAGUGUUUAAAAUAGGCACCGUUGGA